CACCAGCUUGCCUCGGGUGUGAACAUUUUUUUCCAUUUGCCGGUCUGUCUGCUGGGCUGGGCAGGGGAGGCUGGGGACUCUGACCCCUUCGCCUCUGCACGUGCCUGUCCUGCCCUGAGGUAGCCUCUGGGCCCACCAGCCAUCCCAGGAAGGGUGCCAAGUGUCCCUCUGGGCCCAGACAGAUGUGUGUAGGCCGUGACACACAGUCUGACACAGCCACACACACACAGUCAGUCUGACAGAGCCACUGUGGCCACUGGGCAUUUGGGCAAGGACUCAGGGAGACAAUGUGUGACUGUCACACACAGUUAAGGUCACAGAGACAUGGACAUAGCCUCACACAUGCAACCAUCUGCAGUCCUUGGACAGUCUCACACACAAUUACACGCAGGCCCACAGCCAUGCUCAGAAUCCCACAGCACUCCACACAGCUUCACACAUGUACACGGGAAUCUUCCUCCCCGGCCCCCACACCUGCCCAGCACCGAC
rnacentral:lncRNA from 1 species